UACGUAGGGUGCAAGCGUGAAUCGGAAUUACUGGGCGUAAAGCGUGCGCAGGCGGUUUUGUAAGUCUGUCGUGAAAGCCCCGGGCUUAACCUGGGAAUUGCGAUGGAGACUGCAAGGCUUGAAUCUGGAAGAGGGGGGUAGAAUUCCACGUGUAGCAGUGAAAUGCGUAGAGAUGUGGAGGAACACCGAUGGCGAAGGCAGCCCCCUGGGUCAAGAUUGACGCUCAUGCACGAAAGCGUGGGGAGCAAACAGG
rnacentral:rRNA from 1 species